rnacentral:rRNA from 1 species
GCCUGCCCGGUGCCGGAAGGUUAAUUGAUGGGGUUAGCUUCGGCGAAGCUCUUGAUCGAAGCCCCGGUAAACGGCGGCCGUAACUAUAACGGUCCUAAGGUACCGAAAUUCCUUGUCGGGUAAGUUCCGACCUGCACGAAUGGCGUAACGACUGCUCCGGUGUCUCCAGCGUGGACUCAGCGAAAUUGAAUUCUCCGUGAAGAUGCGGAGUACCCGCGGUUAGACGGAAAGACCCUAUGCACCUUUACUACAGCUUUGCGCUGACGCCAGGAUUUGUCUGUGUAGGAUAGGCGGGAGACUUUGAAGCUACGGCGCCAGCCGUGGUGGAGUCAUCCUUGAAAUACCGCCCUGACGAAUUUUGGUGUCUAACCUUGUUCUGUGAAUCCAGAAUAGGAACACCGUAUGGUGGGUAGUUUGACUGGGGCGGUCGCCUCCCAAAGAGUAACGGAGGCGCGCAAAGGUGGGCUCAGUUCGGUCGGAAACCGAACGCUGAGUGCAAUGGCAUAAGCCUGCUUGACUGUGAGAGCGACAGCUCGAACAGGGACGAAAGUCGGUCAUAGUGAUCCGGUGGUUCUGUGUGGAAGGGCCAUCGCUAAACGGAUAAAAGGUACGCUAGGGAUAACAGGCUAAUCUCCCCCAAGAGUUCUCAUCGACGGGGAGGUUUGGCACCUCGAUGUCGACUCAUCGCAUCCUGGGGCUGUAGCAGGUCCCAAGGGUAUGGCUGUUCGCCAUUUAAAGCGGUACGCGAGUUGGGUUCAGAACGUCGUGAGACAGUUUGGUCCCUAUCUGCCGUGGGUGUAAGAAACUUGAAAGGGGCUGUCCCUAGUACGAGAGGACCGGGAUGGACAUACCUCUGGUGUACCGAUUGUGGCGCCAGCCGCACCGUCGGGUAGCUAAGUAUGGAAGCGAUAACCGCUGAAAGCAUCUAAGCGGGAAGCGUGCCUUGAGACUGGGUUUCUAUUGAGGGCUGUUGCAGACUACGACUUUGAUAGGCUUGGGGUGGAAGCGCAGCAAUGCGUGCAGCUGACAAGUACUAAUCGCCCGAAGGUUUGUUUCU